GGCGGCAGGCCUAACACAUGCAAGUCGAACGGUAACAGGAAGCAGCUUGCUGCUUCGCUGACGAGUGGCGGACGGGUGAGUAAUGUCUGGGAAGCUGCCUGAUGGAGGGGGAUAACUACUGGAAACGGUAGCUAAUACCGCAUAAUGUCGCAAGACCAAAGAGGGGGACCUUCGGGCCUCUUGCCAUCGGAUGUGCCCAGAUGGGAUUAGCUUGUUGGUGGGGUAACGGCUCACCAAGGCGACGAUCCCUAGCUGGUCUGAGAGGAUGACCAGCCACACUGGAACUGAGACACGGUCCAGACUCCUACGGGAGGCAGCAGUGGGGAAUAUUGCACAAUGGGCGCAAGCCUGAUGCAGCCAUGCCGCGUGUAUGAAGAAGGCCUUCGGGUUGUAAAGUACUUUCAGCGGGGAGGAAGGGAGUAAAGUUAAUACCUUUGCUCAUUGACGUUACCCGCAGAAGAAGCACCGGCUAACUCCGUGCCAGCAGCCGCGGUAAUACGGAGGGUGCAAGCGUUAAUCGGAAUUACUGGGCGUAAAGCGCACGCAGGCGGUUUGUUAAGUCAGAUGUGAAAUCCCCGGGCUCAACCUGGGAACUGCAUCUGAUACUGGCAAGCUUGAGUCUCGUAGAGGGGGGUAGAAUUCCAGGUGUAGCGGUGAAAUGCGUAGAGAUCUGGAGGAAUACCGGUGGCGAAGGCGGCCCCCUGGACGAAGACUGACGC
rnacentral:rRNA from 1 species